rnacentral:misc_RNA from 1 species
CUACACUAUACAGUAAAACUGUAAAUAUUGUUGCCGUCUCUGCAGUUCCACCGCGACAUGGCCAGUAACAAUAAACUGGAUUUGGUCACUUCGGAUUUGUUCAACGACCAAUUAACAUUAGGCCUGUUGACCGUUCUCGAAAACACCGUGGGCGUGAGAAAUUUGUCGGUCAAACAAAGUCUACCGUGUGACAAGGCAAAAAUAAGUCUGUGGGAGCAGCGGAACGGGUGUCUACUGCCAGAAGACAUCAAGUCGUUUUACUUGUCAUGCGACGGGUUCAAGUUGACUUGGUCGUACAGAGUCGAAGGUAUCACGUCUGAUGCAUCAGCUGCUGCUGUCGGUGGCACUUCCAACUUACCCAUAGGAAACAUCACCGUAAAUCCGCUAUCUGAUUUGGUCCGUCUGUGUGACGUUAAAUCGGACACGGUCAACGUAAACGUGAUGCGUGAUCUACAAUUGCUGGACCGGCUGUCCGACAGGAACACGCCAGACUUCACGGAGAACUCAAAGAUAUUUGAAUUGGACUCGAGCUCGGACGUAGGCCAUGUGUGCCUGGUGUACCUGGAUGACCGGACGUCAGUGGCAUCUGUGGCGGCGAACCGGUCGGACGUCCAUCCACGUGAAGAGCACAGCAGCGCGUCAGUUUGGCUGUUGGACACCACGUAUCGCUGGCAUUUGCUUGCUCCGAACUUCAGCAAUUAUUUCAGAAAGGCUCUGGUCCACAUGGGCCUACCCCACUGGCAACUCAAGUUCACCGACAUGGGACUCACGUCCAUCGGCGAGGUUCUUCCAUGAUUAUUUCAUUCCAAGCAUGGACUAAGAAUUAAGAUAAAAAGAUAUUAUAUUUUUUCAUGAAUUUGAUGGCCCCUCAUUUGAACGUGACCGAUCGAGUUCCUAUAAUCGGCCAAUUAGACGAUG